UCAGGAGUGUGGACUAUUCUCUCAUGUUGAAUGUGGCACUUUUCACAUUCAACAGGAAAGCCACUACACCAAGAUUUUGGAAAACAUGUUAUGUAGGGGUAGUUGUGACCUCUAUGAUGGGGAUCUGAUAAAGAAGAGAAACACCUCACAGCAAUAAUUGGCAUGCAGUCACUUAGCCAGUGAGAUAAGGGGCCGUAGAAACCAUGUGAUAAUGAUGUCUGCUGAGUUCCAGGUGCACAUUUGAAGUGGAUAUAAAGUAAACAUUGAGCUGCCCUCAAAUUUAGUUAGCAAGCUUUAUUAUAGAAACAGCUUAAAUUAGUUAAUUCAGGGAGCUUACUUCAUAGAAAUUAAAACAAUAGUAAGUGCAGUAUAUUUAGAAAUAAAGAACUAGGCUGACCCUUUGACUCUUUGAAACAAGUGGCCUUCCAUGCUCUGAAAGAUUAUAGCCAGCCUUUGAAACAUUGGAAUGGUGUCCACUGCAUUUUAUCACGUAACUGUAGGUCAGCCUGGGAUAUCUGCAGUUUUCUGAUCCCCUGUCGCUGUAAUUGCUGUGAGAGUUUGUGUCAUCACUGUGCUGUCUUCCCCUUCCACAUGAAGGUGAGCUGUCUGACUUCAGUUCUAACGUUUGUGAUUUCACUCCCAAUCUGAUUGUUGCUGAGCAAUUCCCUUGCUUGGAGAAUUCUGUGCUUUGGGUAGAAUUUUUAAAGGUUCUUUUCCUGUGGCCAGAUUUCUGUUUCUUCCUGUGUCUUACACCAUGUUCCCCUACAGAGAAGAUUCUUUGAUGUUACUGGAAGCUUAGCUUAAAGGGAGAUCUACUGCUCUGUGGGGUGGGUGACCAUGGGGGAGCGAGCAGACAGCUUCUGGCUUUUGUUUAUUUUGUGUGUGAUGUACGUGGAAAAAUAUCAUGAUUAGCAUUUAAAAGUAUGUUUGGCAUGUUUAAAAUAAAUUUGAAACUUAAUUUAUUUUAAAGAAUUUAUAUAAAUUUCUCACUUAGUAAAAUGAAUGACUAUUGAGUAUUCAUGCCAAUAAAGCAACUACUUGAAUACAA